rnacentral:rRNA from 1 species
GGUGAAAAGCACCCCGGAAGGGGAGUGAAAUAGAACCUGAAACCGUGUGCUUACAAGUAGUCAGAGCCCGUUAAUGGGUGAUGGCGUGCCUUUUGUAGAAUGAACCGGCGAGUUACGAUUUGAUGCAAGGUUAAGCAGUAAAUGUGGAGCCGUAGCGAAAGCGAGUCUGAAUAGGGCGUUUAGUAUUUGGUCGUAGACCCGAAACCAGGUGAUCUACCCUUGGUCAGGUUGAAGUUCAGGUAACACUGAAUGGAGGACCGAACCGACUUACGUUGAAAAGUGAGCGGAUGAACUGAGGGUAGCGGAGAAAUUCCAAUCGAACCUGGAGAUAGCUGGUUCUCUCCGAAAUAGCUUUAGGGCUAGCCUCAAGUGAUGAUUAUUGGAGGUAGAGCACUGUUUGGACGAGGGGCCCCUCUCGGGUUACCGAAUUCAGACAAACUCCGAAUGCCAAUUAAUUUAACUUGGGAGUCAGAACAUGGGUGAUAAGGUCCGUGUUCGAAAGGGAAACAGCCCAGACCACCAGCUAAGGUCCCAAAAUAUAUGUUAAGUGGAAAAGGAUGUGGCGUUGCCCAGACAACUAGGAUGUUGGCUUAGAAGCAGCCAUCAUUUAAAGAGUGCGUAAUAGCUCACUAGUCGAGUGACACUGCGCCGAAAAUGUACCGGGGCUAAACAUAUUACCGAAGCUGUGGAUUGUCCUUUGGACAAUGGUAGGAGAGCGUUCUAAGGGCGUUGAAGCAUGAUCGUAAGGACAUGUGGAGCGCUUAGAAGUGAGAAUGCCGGUGUGAGUAGCGAAAGACGGGUGAGAAUCCCGUCCACCGAUUGACUAAGGUUUCCAGAGGAAGGCUCGUCCGCUCUGGGUUAGUCGGGUCCUAAGCUGAGGCCGACAGGCGUAGGCGAUGGAUAACAGGUUGAUAUUCCUGUACCACCUAUAAUCGUUUUAAUCGAUGGGGGGACGCAGUAGGAUAGGCGAAGCGUGCGAUUGGAUUGCACGUCUAAGCAGUAAGGCUGAGUAUUAGGCAAAUCCGGUACUCAUUAAGGCUGAGCUGUGAUGGGGAGAAGACAUUGUGUCUUCGAGUCGUUGAUUUCACACUGCCGAGAAAAGCCUCUAGAUAGAAAAUAGGUGCCCGUACCGCAAACCGACACAGGUAGUCAAGAUGAGAAUUCUAAGGUGAGCGAGCGAACUCUCGUUAAGGAACUCGGCAAAAUGACCCCGUAACUUCGGGAGAAGGGGUGCUCUUUAGGGUUAACGCCCAGAAGAGCCGCAGUGAAUAGGCCCAAGCGACUGUUUAUCAAAAACACAGGUCUCUGCUAAACCGUAAGGUGAUGUAUAGGGGCUGACGCCUGCCCGGUGCUGGAAGGUUAAGAGGAGUGGUUAGCUUCUGCGAAGCUACGAAUCGAAGCCCCAGUAAACGGCGGCCGUAACUAUAACGGUCCUAAGGUAGCGAAAUUCCUUGUCGGGUAAGUUCCGACCCGCACGAAAGGCGUAACGAUUUGGGCACUGUCUCAACGAGAGACUCGGUGAAAUCAUAGUACCUGUGAAGAUGCAGGUUACCCGCGACAGGACGGAAAGACCCCGUGGAGCUUUACUGUAGCCUGAUAUUGAAAUUCGGCA